UAACAACCCUAUACCAAACUCCCAAUUUGUCACUAUCUGACUUCCUUCCUGGGUGGCUGCCUUUUUCCUUUUCUUGCUUUUCUCCUUUCUACACUUUCUCCGGGAUAAACAACCUAUUACUUCAAUCACCUAACAUUCGUAUCUCCUGCUUCUCAUAAUGUGUGUCUAAGUCUGUCUUUAUGUGUGUCUCCAGCAACUAUGAAGGAAGAAAAAAUUCUACUCCAAAGACCUGGCAAAUUCCCAUAACAAGAAUCCAGGCACGGACAGAAUUCAGAGACAGAAAAGAUGAAAGUGGGAGACUGAAAAGCAGAGAAAAAAUGUCUUUUGGAAAUCUAAUGGAAAACUUCCAGAAGUAAAGGAAUUAGGUAUAGUAAUAUGAUUGACGACUGAAACUCAAGAGGCUCA
rnacentral:lncRNA from 1 species